rnacentral:rRNA from 1 species
CAGUCGCCGCGGUAAUACGUAGGUGGCAAGCGUUGUCCGGAAUUAUUGGGCGUAAAGGGCUCGCAGGCGGUUUCUUAAGUCUGAUGUGAAAGCCCCCGGCUCAACCGGGGAGGGUCAUUGGAAACUGGGAAACUUGAGUGCAGAAGAGGAGAGCGGAAUUCCACGUGUAGCGGUGAAAUGCGUAGAGAUGUGGAGGAAUACCAGUGGCGAAGGCGACUCUCUGGUCUGUAACUGACGCUGAGGAGCGAAAGCGUGGGGAGCGAACAGGAUUAGAUACCCCCGUAGUCCCUGUCUCUUAUAA